GACGUUUCUAGGCUGUCUGGUUAUCGAAGCAGUAGCGGCCGACUCCAUGUUACAAUCCAACAUCCUGAAGACAACAGAUGCCUGUGAAUCCAUCAAAGCUGACACCAUUGAGCCUGCUGACUGGCCACACCAUUUGACUGACACCCUAAGAACUGAAUUACUUGGCUGAAGACCCUAUGAGAAAGAUUUUGUCUUGACCCAAGAACUACAAAGCGGAGAGGAAGCAGGACCAGACUCCCCUCCAGGGACCUUUUCUUUGAACUGUUUUACGACCUUUUCUUUGAACUGUUCUGUAAUCAAAGGCGAUGGCUGUUUACGACCCCCG